GGUAGCAUAAUCAUUAGUCUUUUAAUUGGAGACUGGUAUGAAUGGCUAAACGAGAGAUCAACUUUUUUUACCGUAAAGAUUGAAUUUAACUUUUUAGUGAAAAGGCUAAAAUUUUUCAGAAAGACGAGAAGACCCUAUAGAGUUUUAUAAAGGACUAAUACUUUUUAUUUGGAUUUUUAUAAAAAAUAUUAAUAAAUUUAUUUUGUUGGGGCGACAUUUAGAUAAAAAAAACUCUUUAUAAGAAAAAUUUUUAUGAAAAUAUGGAUUGAUCCUUUAAAAAAGAUCAUAAGAAAAAAUUACCUUAGGGAUAACAGCGUAAUCUUUUUUGAGAGUUCUAAUCGACAAGAAGGUUUGCGACCUCGAUGUUGGACUAAAAUUAGGGCAGGGU
rnacentral:rRNA from 1 species